CCCCCCCCCCCCCCCCCCCAACCAAAGGAUAGCCGCGAGCCUUCGUUACUGUCACGUUGGUAGAUCACCCCAAGCUCUCACCAAGUACUUCCAGCGGGCGAGAGUAAAGGGGGGUGGCGAGGGGGGGUGCAAAACGAAAGAUAGCAAGCCCGCUCUAUCGAUCGACCGACCGAUCCCAAUUCAAGUCGCUGAGAGAAAGGACAAGGGAAGGAAGAGACGAAGCGAGGGAGGUCGAAUUGGAUAGCUCCCGAUCGAAGCGCUCUCCGAGCUCCGCGGGACCGCAGAGCGGAUCGCCGCCCGCUUCCGUCCCAGAAUUGCGGCGUUUGACGAGAGUUUUCUUGAGCUACAAUGUGCUGAGGUGGGUUUUCAUUUUGGUUGUUUCUCGUUGUCUUAGGGUUUUCGAUCUCCGUCUCUGAGAAUUGCGUCUGCGAGUUAGCGUCUUUGGACGGGUUUUCAACUCGGAGUCUCCGUGUUGAGGGCGCCUUCUUGAUCUCGCCUUGCUUUAGGGUUUUCCCGGUGGGAGAUGAUGUUCGCGCCUGCAUUGCUCCCUCUCAGGCGGUCGGCAUUGAGGAUAUGUUCAAUUCUCUGUAAAAGAAGGUGCAAACCCUAAUCUUGACUGAAACCCAAGAUAUAGAAUAGGAUCAGCGGAAGAAGAGGUUAAAUUCUUGGUGGUUGUCAAUAUGGACACUGUUCACUGAGAGAUGCAGCCGUUGCCACUGCCGCAGCUUUCGCCACAACCGUCAUACUCUCGGACCAACCUCAAUGACCUCAAGUCACAGAUAGCAAAGCGAUUAGGCACGGAGCGAGCACAGCGCUACUUCAUCUAUCUGAAUGGGUUGUUAUCACAGAAGAUGAGCAAGCUCGAGUUCAACAGGCUUUGCCUUCCGACUCUGGGCCGUGAGAAUCUCCCCUUGCACAACCAACUCAUCCGAUUGAUCCUUGAAAAUGCCUGUCGAGCUAAAGUUCCACCACCAGUCAAUCAGGAGAAGGGUGUGCAGAAGCGGGUUGUAGAUGUGCUGAAGAGAACCCCUCAGAUCGAUGAUGGAUUCAAUUCAUUACGUGCCCCGAUUACAUCGUUGCCCAGCUCAUCAAAUGGCCGGCAUGCCAAAGAUUAUGCAGGCCAUCUCGGACCAAAUGGGAGAGCAGAGAUUGCUUCCUAUAAGUUUGUGGCACCUUACGAUGAGAUUGUCAGCAGGGAGAAUGGUGACUUCAUUCCAUCUGGAUCAAGGAGGCUGCAGCAUCAGCAAGUUGGUCCUGCAGAGCGACAGGCAAAGAGACCACGGUUGGAUAACCCAUCACUGCAUUACCAGGGUUCUGUGAAUGACAAGGGGUUGGUUGAAGUAGCAACUGUGGACGAUCUGGAUAGACUGGACCACUUGGACUCCUGCAGAGGAUCUCUUCGGGCCCCACUUGGCAUUCCAUUUUGUUCUGUGAGCACUGGUGGGGCAAGAAGCCGUCCACUGUCAACAGCCGGUGCUAGCAGUGGUGGGUUCGGUAGCAUCUAUGGUCGUGGUGAACUGUUCCAUACUGAGAUUUUGAAGAAACGGAUGGAGCAAAUAACUGAAGCACAGGGAUUGGGAGGAGUAUCUAUGGAUUGUGCCAAACUACUAAAUAAUAGUUUGGAUGCUUAUUUGAAGCUGCUGAUUAGGUCAUGUGUUGAGCUAGUUGGAGCAAGAACUGGAAAUGGACUAACAAAAAGGCCAGUCUCCAGAUUGCAGCUAUAUAGGAAUUCUAUUGUUGAUAGUUUUGUUGGAAACAAUAUCAAAAUGCAAAUUGUAGGUGGACCUUCAGAAGGCACACAUGAACUGAAAAACAGCUGUUUGAUAUCUAUGCAGGAUUUUAGGGUAGCGAUGGAGCUAAAUCCACAACAACUUGGAGAGGACUGGCCCUUGCUACUUGAGAAAAUAUGUAUUCGUUCAUGUGAAGAAUAAGACAAGCCCAGUUAAAGUUUUUGGUUUGUGAAAAUUGUUGGUAGCUGGAUUGCUCCGGUGACUGAGAGCUAAAGGUGUCUAUGUGGGCAUUAAAACUUCUCAGCUUUAGGAUACACUUUGGCAGGUUUUGUGGGAUCAGAACAAAGAAAUCCCAUUAGAUCCAGCGUUUAUGAAGGGUGUCUCCAAUGGUACCACGAAUCUCAAGCAUAAUUGUAACUCCGAACAUGGAGGACCCAAAGGCAGUUUUGCAGGAAUUUCAUUUGUAACUUCUGUAAGUUCGGAGGUAGCAGUGUGUGUAUUAUCAAUUGGCAGAAUGCUUGGUUGAUUUACAA